rnacentral:rRNA from 1 species
CGUAACGGUGACCUCGAGAGCUUGCUCUUGGGUGAACAGUGGCGAACGGGUGAGUAACACGUGAGUAACCUGCCCCUGACUCUGGAAUAAGCGCUGGAAACGGCGUCUAAUACCGGAUAUGACACACCCUCGCAUGGGGAGUGUGUGGAAAGUUUUUCGGUCUGGGAUGGACUCGCGGCCUAUCAGCUUGUUGGUGAGGUAAUGGCUCACCAAGGCGAUGACGGGUAGCCGGCCUGAGAGGGCGACCGGCCACACUGGGACUGAGACACGGCCCAGACUCCUACGGGAGGCAGCAGUGGGGAAUAUUGCACAAUGGGCGAAAGCCUGAUGCAGCGACGCCGCGUGAGGGAUGACGGCCUUCGGGUUGUAAACCUCUUUCAGCAGGGAAGAAGCGCAAGUGACGGUACCUGCAGAAGAAGCACCGGCUAACUACGUGCCAGCAGCCGCGGUAAUACGUAGGGUGCGAGCGUUGUCCGGAAUUAUUGGGCGUAAAGAGCUUGUAGGCGGUUUGUCGCGUCUGCUGUGAAAAUCCGGGGCUCAACCCCGGACUUGCAGUGGGUACGGGCAGACUAGAGUGUGGUAGGGGAGACUGGAAUUCCUGGUGUAGCGGUGAAAUGCGCAGAUAUCAGGAGGAACACCGAUGGCGAAGGCAGGUCUCUGGGCCACUACUGACGCUCAGAAGCGAAAGCAUGGGGAGCGAACAGGAUAA